GCAGGAUUCUCCCCACAUGAAGCUUUCUCCCAACUUGGGCCUCCUCUUGUGGUAUAAUGGCUAGGAUACAAAAAUGCAUGUGUGCAUAUAAAAUGAGAUAAUAACAAUCUUGUUAAUGCAAGAAAGAUGGAAGCACUAACUGCCUGAAGCAAACAGGGAAGGCUCUAAAAAAGUAGGAAUUUCUCAGCUGGAGCAGUGGGAGGCUGCAGUUCUAAGCAGAGAAAUCGCCACAUGCAAAAGAUAGUGACAAAUGAAAGUAAAUUAGGUACUCUUGGAUGGAGCGGUUUGCCAGAGGUGGAACAAUGGGCCUGAGGGGGUGAGGAAAAAGAGGUAGGAGUAUCAGAAGUUACCAAGAGAUACAUCUGGAAAGAGUCUGGAGUUGCUUCUGUUGGCCAUCAAUUUCCUGUGGUGCAGAGGGGCUACAAAUAUAAUACAGAUUAAACUCCCUGCAGGAAGUCUCUUAUGGAUAAGAACAAGUUCAGCUUCCCAUUGGGGAUGACAGAGCUGGUGCUCAGGUCAUCAACAUCCUGCUGAACCUAUGAGAAAGCAUUUGGGACAACUUGACAAUGCAUGGAUUUUAAAACAAUCUAUCACCUAUCUUUGACCAUAUGGACUAAAAUUGAUAUCCACCAAUAGACACUGAUGCCUGCAAGUCAACAGCAUAAAGAGUGGUAAAGUCAGUGCUGCAAAAGAUGAAAUGUUUUUAAUGUGCUCUGGAGGCUAACCAUCCAAGACCAAGAUGUCAGCAGGAUUGGUUCCUGAGGGCCUUGAGGAAGAAUCUGUUCCAGGACUUUCCCUUUGGCUUGCCAUUGGCCAUAUUCUCUCUGUGUCUUCUCACGUCUUCCCUCUGUAUUUGUUUCCAAAUUUCCUCUUCUUAUAAGGACAGUAGUCAUAUUGGAAAAAGGAACACCCUAAUAACCUAAUUUUAACUUGAUUACCUCUUUAAAGACCUUAUCUCCAAAUACCAUCACAUUCUGAACUAUUAAAGAUUAAUGCGUCAAUAUAUGAAUUUUGUGAGGGGCAGGGAGACAGAAUACAACCAACCCACAACACCCAGAUACAUAGCGAAAUCUUCUUCUUCUAGGCCCCCUGUGCCUGUGUCCACCACUUCAUCCCCCAAUUAGCUAUAUUUGAAAAAGUAAGAGGGAAAGAACAGUUGGAGGGGGAAGAGAGAGAGAAAGAAGACAGACAACUUAGAUUAUGUGCCCUAGAUGUUGGCCUUACAAAACGGGAGCAAAUCUUAACCAAUCAUUGUAGCAAAACCUUUUGUUUAUGAAGGAAGUUCCUUUUGUUUCUUUUCAGUCCACUCUACCUGCUAAUUAAAAUCAAUAAUAUGAGAUGCCGUGCUAUCUUUCCUACCUGAGCCACUUAUACUGUAUUGUCAGGUUUGGUUUAUUUCAUUUUCUGAGCUUAUUUGCCAGUUAAUCAUUUGUUUUUAUAUUACAAAGUGGCUCAUCUCUGCCUCAUUACACACUGAAAGUAAUGCCUGACAAGCGAUUGUCCAACGCUCACCAAACCGUGCUUGUGCAGGUUGGCAAAGGAUGCUCUCAGCAUAGACAGGCUGACUUACAUACAGCCAGCCUACCUUUCCUGUCUCACUAUCAGAUCUGUUCAUAGGUCCCGACACAGGGGAAAAAAAUCAGAAUGAUAUAUAGAAUUAAAGGAUAAUGGAACUGGAAUAAUGUUGAGCAUCUUAAUUAGAGACUUUGGGCAGGAUAUAAUCAUACAUGUGAGUUGAAUACGUAAUUAGAAGAUUAGAAUCUUUGAAAAAGAAGGAAGCGUUAGUAUUCUUUAGUUAGCAAAAUGCACUGUUUUAUAGAAUGUAAAACAAACAGCACCAAAGAAGACAAAGUUUUAUAAAAUGACUUUCCCAAGGUUUACUCAUUUCUUCAUAUAAGAGAAUGUGCUUCCAAUGUACUGUGAAGAUCUACAGCAUUAUUUACUGAUGUAAAAGAAAACAUUUUUCAUUAAUUAUUUUGCCCAUCUUCUGAGUCCUCCUGUAUUUCAUAUUGUACCAAGGUCUAUCAAUAAAUUGAUAAGCUCAGUGCAAACAGAAUAAAUG
rnacentral:lncRNA from 1 species